rnacentral:rRNA from 1 species
UACAGAGGUCCCAAGCGUUGUUCGGAUUCACUGGGCGUAAAGGGUGCGUAGGUGGUGAGGUAAGUCGGAUGUGAAAGCUCGGAGCUCAACUCCGAAAUGGCAUUGGAAACUACCUUGCUCGAGGGUUGGAGGGGGGACUGGAAUACUUGGUGUAGCAGUGAAAUGCGUAGAUAUCGAGAGGAACACCAGUGGCGAAGGCGAGUCCCUGGACAACUCCUGACACUAAGGCACGAAAGCUAGGGGAGCAAACAGG